GUCUAUGGCCACGCCACCCUGAACGCGCCUGAUCCCGUCUGAUCUCGGAAGUUAAGCAGGGUCGGGCCUGGUAAGUACUUGGAUGGGAGACCACCUAGGAAGACCAGGUGCUGUAGGCA
rnacentral:rRNA from 1 species